rnacentral:rRNA from 1 species
UACAGAGGGGGCAAGCGUUGUUCGGAAUUACUGGGCGUAAAGGGCGCGUAGGCGGCCUUCUAAGUCGAACGUGAAAUCCCCGGGCUCAACCCGGGAACUGCGUCCGAUACUGGAAGGCUUGAAUCCGGGAGAGGGAUGUGGAAUUCCAGGUGUAGCGGUGAAAUGCGUAGAUAUCUGGAGGAACACCGGUGGCGAAGGCGAACAUCCUGGACCGGUAUUGACGCUGAGGCGCGAAAGCCAGGGGAGC